AAGAUGAGCUGUUCUGCUACGG
rnacentral:miRNA from 1 species